UAGGCGGUUUGUCGCGUCUGCUGUGAAAAGUUCGGGCUUAACCCGGACCGUGCAGUGGGUACGGGCUGACUGGAGUGCAGUAGGGGAGACUGGAAUUCCUGGUGUAGCGGUGAAAUGCGCAGAUAUCAGGAGGAACACCGAUGGCGAAGGCAGGUCUCUGGGCUGUUACUGACGCUGAGAAGCGAAAGCAUGGGGAGCGAACAGGAUUAGAUACCCUGGUAGUCCAUGCCGUAAACGUUGGGCACUAGGUGUGGGGAGCAUUCCACGUUUUCCGCGCCGUAGCUAACGCAUUAAGUGCCCCGCCUGGGGAGUACGGCCGCAAGGCUAAAACUCAAAGGAAUUGACGGGGGCCCGCACAAGCGGCGGAGCAUGCGGAUUAAUUCGAUGCAACGCGAAGAACCUUACCAAGGCUUGACAUGGACCGGAUCGCUGCAGAGAUGUAGUUUCCCUUCGGGGCUGGUUCACAGGUGGUGCAUGGUUGUCGUCAGCUCGUGUCGUGAGAUGUUGGGUUAAGUCCCGCAACGAGCGCAACCCUUUAUCCUAUGUUGCCAGCACGUGAUGGUUGGGGACUCAUUGGAACGCUGCCGGGGUCAACUCGGAGGAAGGUGGGGAUGACGUCAAAUCAUCAUGCCCCUUAUGUCUUGGGCUUCACGCAUGCUACAAUGGCCGGUACAGUGGGUUGCGAUGCCGUGAGGUGGAGCUAAUCCCUAAAAGCCGGUCUCAGUUCGGAUCGAAGUCUGCAACUCGACUUCGUGAAGUUGGAGUC
rnacentral:rRNA from 1 species